GGGGGCGAUACGGCUUCGACGGGGGUAAAGACUCGCGGGAUGCAUGCCGAGGUGCCACGUCCUCGUAAAUCUGGUGGCAACAACCAUAACUGCGGACACGCAGCUCGCUCUCGCUGCUUAAUUAAGUAGCGACGUUCACCCGGACCUCGCCUGCGGGAACGGAUUGAACGCCAUAUCGGCAGGCUGGGCGCGCCCGGCGGUUCCGACCGGGCGCGGCGAGACGACUCGGAGCUAGCGAUUCACUUUUUCCGUCGCUCUUCGACGUGAGUCGCGAACUUUCAAGAGCGGCUAUGCAUGUAGACGCCUGCGACGGCGUGCUCUCGGACGCGGGUUCGACUCCCGCCGCCUCCACCA
rnacentral:tmRNA from 1 species